UAACAAUGUCAACCUGGCUGUCUCAGCUA
rnacentral:piRNA from 1 species